AGAGCGAACGCUGGCGGCAGGCCUAACACAUGCAAGUCGAGCGCCCGUAGCAAUACGGGAGCGGCAGACGGGAUAGUAACACGUGGGAACGCGCCCUUCGGUUCGGAAUAACUCAGGGAAACUUGAGCUAAUACCGGAUACGCCCUUACGGGGAAAGAUUUAUUGCCGAAGGAACGGCCCGCGUCCGAUUAGCUAGUUGGUGAGGUAAUGGCUCACCAAGGCGACGAUCGGUAGCUGGUCUGAGAGGAUGACCAGCAUCACUGGGACUGAGACACGGCCCAGACUCCUACGGGAGGCAGCAGUGGGGAAUAUUGGACAAUGGGCGCAAGCCUGAUCCAGCCAUGCCGCGUGGAUGAUGAAGGCCUUAGGGUUGUAAAGUCCGUUUUAACGGGAGAUAAUGACGGUACCCGUAGAAUAAGCCCCGGCUAACUUCGUGCCAGCAGCCGC
rnacentral:rRNA from 1 species